CUUGGCCGAGCCCAGCCACAGCGGCGACUGCCGGUCCUGGCCGUAGGUGGCCAGCAGCGCGUGCGCCUC
rnacentral:antisense_RNA from 1 species